rnacentral:rRNA from 1 species
GCUCAUGAAGUCGGAAUAGCUAGUAAUCGUAGAUCAGAGUGCUACGAUGAAUACGCGCCCGAGCCCUAUACACCCCGCCCGUCACACAAUGGGAGUGGGUUACAAAAUAAGUAGGUAGCUGAACCUUCGAGAGGGCGCUUGCCUCUUUGUGAUUCAUGACUGGGGUGAAGUCGUACCAAGGAAACCGUGGGGGAACCUGCGGUUUGCUCUCCUCCUUA